rnacentral:rRNA from 1 species
AUGAACGCUGGCGGCGUGCCUAACACAUGCAAGUCGAGCGAUUCUCUUCGGAGAAGAGCGGCGGACGGGUGAGUAACGCGUGGGUAACCUGCCCUGUACACACGGAUAACAUACCGAAAGGUAUGCUAAUACGAGAUAACAUAAGAAAUUCGCAUGUUUUUCUUAUCAAAGCUCCGGCGGUACAGGAUGGACCCGCGUCUGAUUAGCUAGUUGGUGAGGUGACGGCUCACCAAGGCGACGAUCAGUAGCCGACCUGAGAGGGUGAUCGGCCACAUUGGAACUGAGACACGGUCCAAACUCCUACGGGAGGCAGCAGUGGGGAAUAUUGCACAAUGGGCGAAAGCCUGAUGCAGCAACGCCGCGUGAGCGAUGAAGGCCUUCGGGUCGUAAAGCUCUGUCCUCAAGGAAGAUAAUGACGGUACUUGAGGAGGAAGCCCCGGCUAACUACGUGCCAGCAGCCGCGGUAAUACGUAGGGGGCUAGCGUUAUCCGGAUUUACUGGGCGUAAAGGGUGCGUAGGCGGUCUUUUAAGUCAGGAGUGAAAGGCUACGGCUCAACCGUAGUAAGCUCUUGAAACUGGAGGACUUGAGUGCAGGAGAGGAGAGUGGAAUUCCUAGUGUAGCGGUGAAAUGCGUAGAUAUUAGGAGGAACACCAGUAGCGAAGGCGGCUCUCUGGACUGUAACUGACGCUGAGGCACGAAAGCGUGGGGAGUAAACAGGAUUAGAUACCCUGGUAGUCCACGCCGUAAACGAUGAGUACUAGGUGUCGGGGGUUACCCCCCUCGGUGCCGCAGCUAACGCAUUAAGUACUCCGCCUGGGGAGUACGCUCGCAAGAGUGAAACUCAAAGGAAUUGACGGGGACCCGCACAAGUAGCGGAGCAUGUGGUUUAAUUCGAAGCAACGCGAAGAACCUUACCUAAGCUUGACAUCCUUUUGACCGAUGCCUAAUCGCAUCUUUCCCUUCGGGGACAGAAGUGACAGGUGGUGCAUGGUUGUCGUCAGCUCGUGUCGUGAGAUGUUGGGUUAAGUCCCGCAACGAGCGCAACCCUUGCCUUUAGUUGCCAUCAUUAAGUUGGGCACUCUAGAGGGACUGCCAGGGAUAACCUGGAGGAAGGUGGGGAUGACGUCAAAUCAUCAUGCCCCUUAUGCUUAGGGCUACACACGUGCUACAAUGGGUGGUACAGAGGGCAGCGAAGUCGUGAGGCCAAGCUAAUCCCUUAAAGCCAUUCUCAGUUCGGAUUGUAGGCUGAAACUCGCCUACAUGAAGCUGGAGUUACUAGUAAUCGCAGAUCAGAAUGCUGCGGUGAAUGCGUUCCCGGGUCUUGUACACACCGCCCGUCACACCAUGGGAGUUGGGGGCGCCCGAAGCCGGCUAGCUAACCUUUUGGAAGCGGUCGUCGAAGGUGAAACCAAUAACUGGGGUG